AUGGAUGAGAGAGAGAGGGAGUUAACACCACCACGCCCAUGUCUCUCUCGUCUCUCCCGUUCCAACCAAAUCCGGGGCUGGCGGCGGCAAACCCUAGCGCUGCGGCGGCGGCGGUGGCGGCGGCGGCAGACCCUAGCGCCAUGGACUGGCCGGUGCAGGGGACGGCGAUCACGGCCGGUUGAUGAUGGCGCCUCAGGUCCAUAAAGCGUUGGCUCCUCUCCAUCGACAUGACCAGCACAAAAGGUGCGUAUUCCCGUCACCUGUUGCCUUCGGUGUCUCCGUACGUUUCAGCCCCGUUCGAUGCCUCUCCUCCAGCCACACGACGUCCAUUUGCCUCUUUCUCUUCCCUGUGGACGUCACCUCCCCACGUUCUGGAUGUACCAUGAUUCUGGAUCGGGCACAAGUCGCCCCAAUAGGAGAGCAGGUCUGGUGUGGUUUCAUGGUGGGUGUUGAGGAGCAGGGGGCUGGGGAGGGAGUCGGCCAUCACUGCCUACCACUGCUCACGAGUCGUCGUGCCCCAUCCCCAACCUAGACUGCACAUCUACAGCUCCGGCAUCUCCCUCUCCCCUAUUUUUUGCCUUUUGAUUUCCCUGGUUCGUUGAUAAUGCGAUUUUAAUUUUUUGAUUUAUGUGUGUAGAUCGGAUGAAGAAUACAAGAGGAAGACUAAGAACAAGUUUAUUUGGUUGACAGUUUAUAACCUCAGCAAGGAGCACGUGACAUUGACGCCAUCACUGAGCUCAAGAUGGUGCCUUGCAAUGAUCAUUGCACUUCUCUUCCAUACAUCAGUGCCACUUCCAAAGCGGAGUGCCUCCUAGAGGAUAGUCUCUAUUAUCAGAAGGGUGAGUGUCCAGUUUGCUCUGCAUAAUACAACGAAGCCUUCAGUGUUGGAGGGGAACACACGUUCGAAAUAAUAACAUUAUAGGAAGAAGAAGCUGAACUGGAAUAUGUGUCUUCUCUUCCUGAAAGUUUCCUUAAAUGAUUCAGUACCCCAUGAAAUUAAUCUGGACUGAAAUUACAUAUUUUUAUUAGGUGAAGCAGCACAGAAGACAAAGAAGGCAUAUUGUGCGAGAGCGGCGAUGGCAUGGACGAGCUUGUCUGCUCCCGGUUCGGGUACCAAUGGGACAGCGACACGUUCUAGCUUGCACUGAAUGUGAUCGUAUAGAGACACGAUGGAUAUGCCCAAUCCUACAGUGGCGUACGGAGCCGGCUUCGUGUGAGAUGACGGUGGGUUAGCGGUCCAUCAUGCACGUGUUCCGUUGGUACAAAUCUCUUCUUGCGGUACACAACGACUACCAUCAGUUGCAGCCCGGCGCGCAAACGUCGUCUUCCUAAUAAACAGAUAAGGGUGCACAACAUUGUGGAUCCAACCUUGCCGGCGACGCUGAGAAAAAAAGGCAAAUCUAUCCAUUCGGGCACUGCACGAGGCGAGAAGCUAGGAGCUAUGGUGAUGGCGGCGGCGGGAGGUGGGAGGCGGGAGGCGACGGAUUCCAGUUCCUAGCAGAUCCGGUUCACAGGUUUCCCUUGCCGGAUCUCGCCGCCGGCGGCUCUUUACUGCGCAGUGAAGCCAAGCAAGCUGCGGUACACACGCCCGCCGAAUCCAGCAUUUGUGAUGUGGGUGAUGCGGCGCCGACACCUGACAGUACAACUAUAUUUGAACAUCGCUUGCAAUGGGAUGGCCCUGUCGGCGCCGAACUCAGAGCAAUCGAUGGGCAAGGACGAUCCUCAGCCGCCUGGCUGGACCAAGAGGGUGCGUGUUGGGCAUGCACCUGAUGAACGUCCCCCAUGUGCUGGCAGAAUGAGUGCCUUGAAAAAACAUUGAGAAGAUAUGUAGUUCCUGCGGUAGGAAGCCACUUUAAUUCACUUGGAGAAGCAUAUGUCUAUUACAAUCUGUAUUCUAGGGACACUGGGUUUGGAAUAACGUACGGCAAGAGCAGGCUUAAUGUUGAAAGGAUAAAUGCAUGCAGGAGAUACUAUGUGGCUGCUCCUGCUCGGUAAGCACUGUUUUCAAUGGACCAUCACAUACCCAAUUGGCUGAUGUAUCGGACAUAACAUUUAGCGUCAAUGAAAAGAGAAAUGAAUAAGUUUGACACACUGUUGUACAUGCGACUUCUUUUUGAUAGGGAAGCAAGUGAGAACUAUGAAGAGAGACGUACAAAGAUAGUAAGUUUUUUAAAUAACAUAUGAUGUUCCUAUAUCCUCACUUCCUGCUGUUGUAUCAUGAAACUAAUGCGCGUAAUGAAAAUGAACACACCACUGGAGUUGCAUGCUAGCGAUAUGUACACACGAGCCAUGUUUGAAAAGUUUGGCGAAAUUAUGUAUGAAGCAGGGCAGUACAAAGUAGAGGAGGUCAGUAAAGGGAAAAUCUAUUUCGUGCGACGAUACCAUCCAGAGAAACAUGAAAAGUGGUGCGGGGUGUGUACAAAGUGGAAGUUGUUGAGGAAGGGAGGGAACUGAUAUGUGAGUGUGCUAAUUUCGAGCACACAUUCUUGCUCUGCUGCCAUGCAGUUAAGGUCCUUGAUUUCCUCGGCAUAUACCAGAUACCAGCAAAACAUAUUCUGAAACGUUGGACAAAGGAUGCAGGAGAUGUAUUGUCCACCCACUUAUCACACCUUCAGAAGGAUAGCAUUUCAGUGAAUUCAAUAACCUUUAGGCACUCAAAUCUUCACACACAUGCACUCGAAGUGGUGAGGCUGGAGAUGCAAAUACAGAGGCCUAUGACUAUGAGUGUGCAAUGGACAUCUUGAAGAUAGCAAUGGAUAAACUGACACCAAUAGCCGCCAUGCGAGAUGGAAUGUGAUUGCAUUGGAAGACAAAAUUCAGCCAAACAAGAGAUGUCUACACCUGAUUCAGGCGGGGGCUCUGUUAGCCAUGUGUCUUCCAGCUCUAGCUCGAGUGCCCUUGCAGUCAGCGAUGAGCACGACCUGCAUCUUCAGUUCUUGCCAUCUGAUGAUCAUGUCGCUGGCGGCAGUGCUCCAGGGCAUGCGGCUUUCGUGCAGGUCGGUGAUUGAGGAUACCGUGUACGGGAGGGCUGAUGGUGUAUCGAUGGCAGAUGAAGGUUGCGAAGAUGAGUCACAAGUCCAGUCCCGUUCUUCAACCGUGGAAGAGGUGGGUACCUAUGAUCCAGAAAAUCAGAGCUACGCCGGCGGUGAUAACUGGUCCAAGACAGGAAGCUACUCCGAGUUAAGGACCAAGGUUGCUGAUGGAUCCAUCAGCGGCGUCGAUGGUGGGAGACGCGCAGCAAAGCGAGCAAGAGUUGAGGACUGAUGUGUUCCGAAGAUGCUUAAAGCUGUUACCCUUAGUAACCGCUGAACUCAGCGGUGAAAUCCUAGACUAAAAAAGGUGUUUGUGUUAAGAUUAGUGGCGUACAAGUUUGCGCCAGUGUGGUGCGGCGGGUUCAAUGUGGAUCUAGGAGUCCUGGUAGGUUUGUGUGGAAAAAAUAAAAGGAGGUUAGGUUUUGGUUUGUCGAAAUCCAUGUAUGUUGAUUAGAUUAUGUUUUCAGUGUCUGCCCCCAAUGACUGGUCAACUCA